GGCCUUUCAGCUUCUUAUCAUCUUCGUGCUCUGAUUCAACAUAGCUACUCUUGUUGUUGAUCAGUGACAACCUCACCACCCCAGAAAUGACUGUACUUGGCUGUGAGUAACAAAGUCGGCAGCAACAGCUUAAACAAACUUUCUGUCUCUAUUACAUACUACGCAAAUCAAGGGAGAGCCCUACAAAAGUUACAGAAGGGAACAGCCAGAGGACAAGGACACCAUGUUCUUCAUCCUCAUGCAAGACAUCUGACCUGUUCUUCUGAGAGGAAUCCCAGGAACAACACACGCUCUCUCAGCCUCCAGCCGGAUCAGUUCUGAGUGUUCUCAAGCCCAACCAAUGAUUGAGGGGGCACUGUCAAUCUCUUGCUGCAAUCAUCAAGGAUUGUUUGUCAUGUAUGCACUGACCUCUUUGGAAUUCCAUCAUGCAAAGUGCGCUUGCUUGUCUUUGCUUUCAUUAUAGUUACCCACAAUAACUCAUACCUUUGCACUCAUUUUCCGAGAACUUGUA